rnacentral:piRNA from 1 species
UCCCUAACUCGCGAACAAUCUAAUGUGGC